rnacentral:rRNA from 1 species
AUUGAACGCUGGCGGCAGGCCUAACACAUGCAAGUCGAACGGUAACAGGAAGCAGCUUGCUGCUUUGCUGACGAGUGGCGGACGGGUGAGUAUGUCUGGGGAACUGGCCGAUGGAGGGGGAUAACUACUGGAAACGGGAAGUAAUAACGCAUAACCGCCCAAGGACCAAAAAGGGGGCCUUUAGGGCCCCUGCCCUUCGGAGUGGCCAGAUGGGAUUAGCUAGUAGGUGGGGUAACGGCUCACCUAGGCGACGAUCCCUAGCUGGUCUGAGAGGAUGACCAGCCACACUGGAACUGAGACACGGUCCAGACUCCUACGGGAGGCAGCAGUGGGGAAUAUUGCACAAUGGGCGCAAGCCUGAUGCAGCCAUGCCGCGUGUAUGAAGAAGGCCUUCGGGUUGUAAAGUACUUUCAGCGGGGAGGAAGGGAGUAAAGUUAAUACCUUUGCUCAUUGACGUUACCCGCAGAAGAAGCACCGGCUAACUCCGUG